UGUCAAUGUCCUUCAUUGGAAAAAGUAAAUCAACAUACAUACCUCGGUCUCAUAAUUGACAACCGACUGAGUUUGAAGCCACACAUAGACCAUGUAUGCUC